AAUUUUUAGAGAAUGCUCUUGACUAACCUUACCCUUUCUUGAAUCAUGUAAACUAUACGAUGAAACAAGUAACUAAUUGAGUUAGAGAUGCUGCUUUUUAUCACCCCUGAUGAUAAUUCUGUUUAUCUAAAACUGGGAAAAUGUGGAGGAUCCCACAGAGAAUGAAAAGGAUCCUGUUUGGUGCUUACUGUGGAAGUUGUGGAAUUCUGCUAUUUGCCAACAAAGUAGCAUGGACUAUUGAUGUAAUAUAUGACCCUUUGAAAUAUAUAUUAACUGUGAGAAAUUAAUAAACAAGUACAUGUUAAGUGAUUGCAUUAAAAAAUUUGGUGUGUGAUUUGAAUAUCAUUUCAAGAGAAGUUUUUGUUUAAAUGGGUUGUUUCGUACAUUUGAAUUUUUUCACAGCUCAUAGGAAACUCUAUGUAUCCCGCCAUUCAUUCCAAUGAUAAAGCAUUGAUUGAGUACCUAACUGUUUCAAACUACAGAGUACAGAAGUAAGACUACAUACAGAAUAACUAUUUAUCAAUUUGAAGUAUGGAAGCUCAAUUUUUUCGAGAUUUUGUGAAAAUCCCUAGUCCAGAAUUUACAUCUUUACUCAUAAAAGUUAUAAAUCCAUAAAGUUACAUCCAGAAAAACAUGUAAAAACCCCCAGAAACAAAUGGCAGUAUAUGAAAAUUGGCUGCAUUAAAAUGAUUCUUCAGUUCUGUUAUUUGUUAUAUGAUGAUAAUUUAUCAAAAUUAAUUUAUUCACAACCUGGAAUCCAAUGUUUAUGUUAAAAUAAAAAACCCCACUGACAUUCAAAAUUGCAGAUUGGUGAACAUGUCAGACUGUCUUUAAAAAGAUGUAUAUCUGGAGAGUUCACAUUCUUGCUUUGACUUUUUGUAGAGGUGAUGUUGUUAUUUUAAAGAAUCCAUAUAAGCCAACUCAUCUGGUCUGUAAGAGAAUAAUUGGUAUGGAGCAUGAUUAUAUCACUAACGAAGAUGGAAAAAUCAUUAAGGUUCCAAAAGGUCAUGUCUGGAUAGAGGGGGACAACAAGGCAGACUCUGAAGACUCUAGAGAUUAUGGCCCUGUCCCAUAUGGCUUGUUGGAAUCCAGGGUAUUUUUCAGGGUAAAGCAUUAACUAUUAACCAUUAUUCUUGAUUCUUUUCAUGAUUUUUUUUAGCUAUUGCAAAUUUUACUGUGAUGAAGUACAUGUAAAUCUGUUUUAAUAGAAUUUAAUUGCCCUAAAUUUAUUAUGUCUCCCUUCAAAGAAGGGAGCAUGCUUUGCUGCUGUCUGUCGAUCCAUCAACAGUUUCUGUUCAUUUUCUUCGCAAAGGUAACACAUAUUGAAAUGAAAUUUGGUAUACAGGUUUAUCUUAAUAAUAUCUAGGUCAAGUUCGAUUUUGGGUACGAUCAAGCAAUUUUCAACAGAGUUGUGCCCCUUGGACGUAAAAAAAAUUCCAAUUAUUUGGAGUUUCCGUUCAUUUCACGUAGAAUACACAUAUUGAAAUGAAAUUUGGUAUACAGGUUUAUCAUAAUAUUAUCUAGAUCAGGUUUAAUUUUGGGUACGGGCAAGCAUUUUUUGACAGAGUUAUGUGCCUUGGUCUAAGAAAAAUUCCAAUUAUUUGCAGUUUCCGUUCAUUUCACGUAGAAUACACAUAUUGAAAUGAAAUUUGGUAUACAGGUUUAUCAUAAUAUUAUCUAGAUCAAGUUUAAUUUUGGGUACGGGCAAGCAUUUUUUGACAGAGUUAUGUGCCUUGGACUAAGAAAAAUUUCAAUUAUAUUUAGUUUUCGUUUAUUUUCUUUGCAGAUAUUUCCAAGGGAGGGGGGCAUAAGUGUUUUACAAACAUCUCUUGUUUGAUUUUACAAUUCUUUUAUGACACACUCUUAUUAGAAUAAUUUCUGCAUACCGAAUUACUACAAUAUAGUAAUGAUUGUGCAGAUAAUAACUAUUGGUACUGUAUGUAUAAGAAAGAGACAUUCAAAAUUAAAUAACAUGCAAUUUCAUAUACCUGUAUUUUAGCCUUGUGUUCAAAGUUUUUACUUCUUAUAUUUUAGUGGUGGCCUACACGCAGGAUGGGACCUAUUAAGCUUCCCGGGGAAGAAGAUAUUCUAGAGACAAGAAUGAAAUCUGGGCUGUACUUGAGCAGGAGCAAAGAGAGUGAAGAGCAGUAGUUUAAUGUUUUAAAUUGUAAAAACAUUUUGAAUUUACUUUACAUGUACAUGUAUUUAUCUGAAAUACAAUCUUGAUUCUGUUAUAUAUGAAUAUAUCAUAAACCUGUGCCAAAAUUC
rnacentral:misc_RNA from 1 species